rnacentral:rRNA from 1 species
GAUGAACGCUGGCGGCGUGCUUAACACAUGCAAGUCGAACGGAAAGGCUCCUGCUUUCCGGGGUUCUCGAGUGGCGAACGGGUGAGUAACACGUGUGUGAUCUGCCCUGCACUUCGGGAUAAGCCUUGGGAACUGGGGCUAAUAUCGGGUAUGACGUUUUUUUGGAUGCGAUUGUGGAGAGUUUUGCGGUGUUGGUUGAGCUCGCGGCCUAUGAGCUUGUUGGUGGGGUAAUGGCCUACCAAGGCGUCGACGGGUAGCCGGCCUGAGAGGGUGGACGGCGUCAUUGCGACUGAGGUACGCACCAGACGCCUACGGGACGCAGCAGUCGGGAAUAUUGCGCAAUGGCGGCAAGCCUGAUGCAGCGACGCCGGGUGGGGGAUGACGGCCUACGGGUUGUAAACACCUGUCGCUAGGAACGAAGCGCAAGUGACGGUACCUGGAGAAGAAGCACCGGCUAACUACGUG